UUUUAAUACUCAGCAGGUAAAUUGAGAAAUGACCAAUGAAGAGAUAUAGUAAAUAUUAUUAAUUAAGUCAAUCCCAGCACAUGUACUGAUCAUAUAUAUCAAAAAACUAAAUAUAAGCCGUUUUGAAAUAUUUUCAUAUUUCAACGUCUAUAAUAAUAUACAUUUUAUUUGGAUAUUAAAGGCGUUUUUAGCUCCACACCCCAAGUGUCUGUGAUAUCAAACAGGAAACUACUUCAUAUUACCGUUAAGUAAAAUACAUUGCGUAAGAGUUCUUAUUACUUUAUUUUGAAGUAGUUGAAGUGCAUGUGCAAAACAUGCGGAAAAAACAUAUACACGUAUCCGCUAUAAUUUUGUUCGGACAUACGUGUUAGGAUAGCUUGAAUUGCAGCGGAGCAAGUUUGAUUUGUUAAUUAUUUGGUUUAUUUUAAGAAACAAAAUGAUUGGGUUGUGCGUUAUCUUGUUUGCAAGCCUAGCCACAAUGACAUCUGCUGGCCCGGACGAAAGCCCGACAGGGAGAAUUGACGAGUACUGUCUGCAAUCAGCUCCCACCAUAAGAGGACCGUGUACACCAAGGACCAUCUGGACCUAUGACACUGACGUUGAAAAAUGCGUCGAGAAAGAGGGCUGCUUUGCAAAUGGCUUUCAGGAGUACAAUAUAUUCACGAAUAAACUUGGUUGCCACGUGUGGUGUCAUAUGAUAUAUGAAUAAAUCUGAUUAUAUAUAUCAUACUGUAUUUGAUGAAAUAAAAUAUCUCAUUUCUU